UGUCCAUACCACAUGGUCACCUCGAUUCAUCCCGCUUUGCGAGAGUGCAUCGGGGAGGAAAGUCCGAACUUCAUUUAUAGGUAGUGGGUAACGCCCACCGGGCCGAUGGCGACAUCGGUUUAGGGACAGUGCCACAGAGACGAUACUAGUCCCGACGCAAAUCGGGAUCAAAGGUGAAACGUGUGUCGGUGAUUGAUGAGUUCGCAUAUGCACCACAUCAACCUACGAUACUCGCCUCCUGGUGACAGGAUGCGCGUGGUAAACCCUACCUGAAGAAAGAGCAGCGUUUCCCCUAAACGGGGAUUCGAAAAGUUCGCUCGUUAGAAUUCUGCAGCAAUGCAGGAUCAAGAGAAAUGACCAUCACCUUCCGCUUUGCAGGGCUUGCCCUGCUUGGCGGGGGCGGCACAAAAUUCGGCUUAUGGUAUGGACAUAUA
rnacentral:RNase_P_RNA from 2 species